GAUGAACGCUGGCGGCGUGCCUAAUACAUGCAAGUCGAGCGAACAGACGAGGAGCUUGCUCCUCUGACGUUAGCGGCGGACGGGUGAGUAACACGUGGAUAACCUACCUAUAAGACUGGGAUAACUUCGGGAAACCGGAGCUAAUACCGGAUAAUAUAUUGAACCGCAUGGUUCAAUAGUGAAAGACGGUUUUGCUGUCACUUAUAGAUGGAUCCGCGCCGCAUUAGCUAGUUGGUAAGGUAACGGCUUACCAAGGCAACGAUGCGUAGCCGACCUGAGAGGGUGAUCCGCCACACUGGGACUGGAACACGGUCCAGACUCCUACGGGAGGCAGCAGUAGGGAAUCUUCCGCAAUGGGCGAAAGCCUGACGGAGCAACGCCGCGUGAGUGAAGAAGGUCUUCGGAUCGUAAAACUCUGUUAUUAGGGAAGAACAAAUGUGUAAGUAACUAUUCACGUCUUGACGGUACCUAAUCAGAAAGCCACGGCUAACUACGUG
rnacentral:rRNA from 1 species